UGCUCCUUUGACGUUAGCGGCGGACGGGUGAGUAACACGUGGAUAACCUACCUAUAAGACUGGGAUAACUUCGGGAAACCGGAGCUAAUACCGGAUAAGAUUUUGAACCGCAUGGUUCAAUAGUGAAAGACGGCCUUGCUGUCACUUAUAGAUGGAUCCGCGCCGUAUUAGCUAGUUGGUAAGGUAACGGCUUACCAAGGCAACGAUACGUAGCCGACCUGAGAGGGUGAUCGGCCACACUGGAACUGAGACACGGUCCAGACUCCUACGGGAGGCAGCAGUAGGGAAUCUUCCGCAAUGGGCGAAAGCCUGACGGAGCAACGCCGCGUGAGUGAUGAAGGUCUUCGGAUCGUAAAACUCUGUUAUCAGGGAAGAACAAACGUGUAAGUAACUGUGCACGUCUUGACGGUACCUGAUCAGAAAGCCACGGCUAACUACGUGCCAGCAGCCGCGGUAAUACGUAGGUGGCAAGCGUUAUCCGGAAUUAUUGGGCGUAAAGCGCGCGUAGGCGGUUUUUUAAGUCUGAUGUGAAAGCCCACGGCUCAACCGUGGAGGGUCAUUGGAAACUGGAAAACUUGAGUGCAGAAGAGGAAAGUGGAAUUCCAUGUGUAGCGGUG
rnacentral:rRNA from 1 species